rnacentral:rRNA from 1 species
UACGGGAGGGAGCUAGCGUUGUUCGGAAUUACUGGGCGUAAAGCGCGCGUAGGCGGCUUUGUAAGUUAGAGGUGAAAGCCCGGAGCUCAACUCCGGAACUGCCUUAAAACUGCAUCGCUUGAAUCCAGGAGAGGUGAGUGGAAUUCCGAGUGUAGAGGUGAAAGUUCGAUAGAUAUUCGGAAGGAACACCAGUGGCGAAGGCGGC